GACGUAGGGCGCGAGCGUUGUCCGGAUUUAUUGGGCGUAAAGAGCUCGUAGGCGGCUUGUCGCGUCGUCCGUGAAAACUUGGGGCUCAACCCCAAGCUUGCGGUCGAUACGGGCAGGCUCGAGUUCGGUAGGGGAGACUGGAAUUCCCGGUGUAGCGGUGAAAUGCGCAGAUAUCGGGAGGAACACCGGUGGCGAAGGCGGUUCUCUGGGCCUGUACUGACGCUGAGGAGCGAAAGCGUGGGGGAGCAAACAGG
rnacentral:rRNA from 1 species